AUUGAACGCUGGCGGCAGGCUUAACACAUGCAAGUCGAGCGAGCGGCGGACGGGUGAGUAAUGUCUGGGAAACUGCCUGAUGGAGGGGGAUAACUACUGGAAACGGUAGCUAAUACCGCAUACCAUCAGAUGUGCCCAGAUGGGAUUAGUUAGUAGGUGGGGUAAUGGCUCACCUAGGCGACGAUCCCUAGCUGGUCUGAGAGGAUGACCAGCCACUCUGGAACUGAGAGCCGGUCCAGAAUCCUACGGGAGGCAGCAGUGGGGAAUAUUGCACAAUGGACGCAAGCCUGAUGCAGACAUGCCGGGUGUGUGAAGAAGGCCUUCGGGUUGUAAAGCACUUUCAGCGGGGAGGCGUUACUCGCAGAAGAAGCACCGGCUAACUCCGUGCCAGAAGCCGCGGUAAUAC
rnacentral:rRNA from 1 species